rnacentral:rRNA from 1 species
UAUGACUCUCGGCAAUGGAUAUCUUGGCUCUUGCAUCGAUGAAGAGCGCAGCGAAAUGCGAUACGUGGUGUGAAUUGCAGAAUCCCGUGAACCAUCGAGUUUUUGAACGCAAGUUGCGCCCGAGACCAAUUGGUUGAGGGCACGUCCGCCUGGGCGUCAAGCAUUAAAUCGCUUC